UGGUAAGAAUACAGCAGACUGGAAAAGAUUUGCUUCAAGAAGAAGGAAGAACAAUGUCAGUGGAAAUACAGCUGCAAAAUGCUGACAAUGAAGUGCGCAUUGGUCUGAGCCUACAAGAUGAGAAUCUUACAGGAGAACCUUACAG